rnacentral:lncRNA from 1 species
AUGAUGGUUAUUAGGUCUUUCCACUUUUCCGUGGAAAGACCUAAUAGUUUUGUUCUGAUUAUUAUUAGGUCUUUCCACCUUUCCGUGGAAAGACCUAUUGUUUUGUUCUGUUAUUAUUAGGUCUUUCCACCUUUCCGUCGUAUUAGGGAUUCUUUCCACCUUCCGUGAAAGACCUAUUAUUAUUAUUAAGUCUUUCUUUCUGUGGAAAGACUUAUUGCUGAUUAUUUAUUAUUAGGUCUUUCCACCUUUCCGUGGAAAGACCUAUAGGUUUUGUUCUGAUUAUUAUUAUUUUUUUUUUUCUUCCGCCUAAUUUUUUUUCUUGCGUAGUAUUGAUGUUUCAAAAGAUGUCGCUUAGAUAUUUGGAAUAUGAUAUCGUAUAGUUUAUACGCUUUAAAAAUUUACAACUGCGUAACAAAAUACUUUACGUUGUAAGAGUUAUCUCCCCAAACACUGUUUUUCUUGUGGCCACUACUCCUUCGCAACCG